rnacentral:rRNA from 1 species
AACUUUGGCAAAGCUUCUGGACUACACGCAACUGAAAAAAGGAGCUCCAUCGCCCCCAUCCAAUGCGCCAACAUUAACUUGGAGGAGAUUCUGGCGAACUUCCCAGCGACUACAACCCCCUUCCCCAUUAAGUAUCUGGGGUUGCCCCUCUCCCUCGGAAGACUUAGACGUGUGGACCUUCAACCCUACAUAGACAAAGCGGUGGCUCGUCUUAGCCCGUGGAAAGGAAAGUUCCUGAACCGUGCCGGC